rnacentral:misc_RNA from 1 species
AUGGAAGUUGAAACUAGUAUUUAAAUUUAAGAAGAUGUUAAGAAAUGUAUCUGCUGUGAGCCAAGGGCUGCGUCAGAUGACGCUAAGCUCCAACCUUUACGCAGCAGGAACUGAACAUCACGUGAUUAAACGCCCAGUUAAUGCGUUCAUUCUGUAUCAGCAGGAUCAUAUUCAGAAAUUGAAGAGAGAGAACCCCAACCUAAAGAUGACUCAACUAACAUCUCUCAUCUCUAAGCAGUGGAAUGAACUUCCGGAGAAAAGUAAGAAGCCCUACUUUGAGAAUCAUCAAUCCCAACUAGAGAUCUACAGGAAGCACAUGGAUGCCCUGCCUACAGACGAGAUAGAAGUUCUCAAGAAGGAGAAGACGGAAAGGAGAUUUGAAAAGAAACUCAAGAAGUUGUGUAGAGAGAUUAAAGCUCUGAAUAAGGAUCGUCCGACUCUCUCGAAUGCGUUCGCCCUGUUCGUCCAGGACUAUAUGAAGGAGAACACCAGCCCAGGGAACCAGGCAGAAAAGAUGAAAGGAUGUGGAGUAGCGUGGAAGAAUCUAUCUGAUGCUAAGAAGGCUGAAUAUAAAGCUAAACACGAGAAGAGUAAGGAAGCCUAUCUCAAGGAACUUAGCAAGUGGGAGAGUGCUAUUGAAAAAGAUGGAAGGAAACAAACCCUGGAAGAUUUGAAGGCUGAGUUUUCUAAAGUGAAGAAGGCUGAGACUGAUUACAAGAUUAACGGCUGGUUCAACUAGAUCUAGACGCUGAUUACAAGAUUAACGGCUGGUUCAACUAGAUCUAGACGCUGAUUACAAGAUUAACGGCUGGUUCAACUAGAUCUAGACGCUGAUUUUUAUCCAACACAACAAAAUAUUAUGAUUGUUCGAUUAUCACUUAAAGUGACUGUCGACUCCCUUUGAUACUGAAGAGAUUUCAUGUGCCGUGUCCCAAAAUUAUAGUGUUCGAAUGCAUUUAAUUUAUAAUGCUCACAGCUGAGAACUGAAAUGAACAACAACAAAAAUUAAACUUUCCUCACUGAGAAAGAUUAACUCAUCUCUCAUUGGCCAAAUCCUAAAGUGUUGACCAUUAAGAAAUCGGUUAGUCCUCCUGCUAUGAGAGAAAAAGUUUAACCAAUCCAGUAUUUGAAAAGUUUCCGGUUCAGAUUCAAAUUCAUUCUUUUUGUAACACAACUGAGCUUAAUGUCUCCCUAUAGGUUAAAUGGUAAAAUGUAAAAAUAUAUUUUUUAAAUAAUUUGAA